AGAGCAGCGCAUAGCAGGCCCCUGCAGAGGAUUAACACGGUGGCUGAACACCGGAAAGAACUGGCACUUGGAGUCGCGACAUCUGAAACUUGCUAUAUGGAGGAAGCAGCAGAGAAGGGCAAAUUUUAAAAAGUGGAAGAAAACUGGUAUGCAUAUUUUCAACCAAGUGAAAACGUCAAGGAGGUUAAAGUAAUCAACUGGGUCAAAUGCUGCUGAGAGGUCAAAUAAGUCCUCAAGAAUAACUGUAGAAUGUGCUGGGAGUGCAACAUCCUAAAAUAAGGAGGAAGUGGCUGAAACAGCCUGGGCUGUAUUCCUGUCUCCAUCUAGCACAAGAUGUCCUUCAACCCUUUAGCCCAGCGUGCAAGUACUACCAGAACGUUUGGGGUCAGAAAUCGGAUAUCUACACUUCCCCGUCUCCCAAAAGAGCUUCCCUCCUUAGGCGUCCGGAGGUCUCUUGGAUUUUUCACUGCUAAUCCCAUCUGUCUUCACUAGACUCACUUCCCACAACUUGCUCCAGGAGGGGCCUAUGUGGACACUGAAGGCGACUGGGGCGGUUCCUCUUCUGAUGUAGUUAGCUCUCAGUUAGCUCACCGCCCAGUUCUCCUUGAUCUCUCCGGGCUGGACCGCCUCGUAAGCAGGAGGAGCAUAGAAGGAGGCGGGCUCCACAAGCUUGAUCUUCUGAAUCCCCUUGUCUCUGUAAACUUCCCCUGGAAGAAGCGAUGCACUGGCG
rnacentral:lncRNA from 1 species